rnacentral:tRNA from 1 species
GGAAUAAUAGAACGUGAAGUAGAUUUUACUAUGCCUGGCUACGGACUAGGAGGAU